rnacentral:rRNA from 1 species
UACGGAGGAUGCAAGCGUUAUCCGGAAUGAUUGGGCGUAAAGCGUCCGCAGGUGGCAAUGUAAGUCUGCUGUCAAAGCGUCUGGCUCAACCAGAUAAAGGCAGUGGAAACUACAUAGCUAGAGUAAGGUAGGGGUAGAGGGAAUUCCCGGUGUAGCGGUGAAAUGCGUAGAGCUCGGGAAGAACAUCGGUGGCGAAAGCGCUCUGCUGGACUGCAACUGACACUCAGGGACGAAAGCUAGGGGAGCGAAUGGG